rnacentral:rRNA from 1 species
GAGUUUGAUCCUGGCUCAGAUUGAACGCUGGCGGCAUGCCUUACACAUGCAAGUCGAACGGCAGCACGGGAGCUUGCUCCUGGUGGCGAGUGGCGAACGGGUGAGUAAUGCAUCGGAACGUAUCCUGGAGUGGGGGAUAACGUAGCGAAAGUUACGCUAAUAUCGCAUAUUCUGUGAGCAGGAAAGCGGGGGACCUUCGGGCCUCGCGCUCUUGGAGCGGCCGAUGUCGGAUUAGCUAGUUGGUGAGGUAAAGGCUCACCAAGGCGACGAUCCGUAGCAGGUCUGAGAGGAUGAUCUGCCACACUGGAACUGAGACACGGUCCAGACUCCUACGGGAGGCAGCAGUGGGGAAUUUUGGACAAUGGGGGCAACCCUGAUCCAGCCAUGCCGCGUGAGUGAAGAAGGCCU